rnacentral:rRNA from 1 species
ACUCCUACGGGAGGCAGCAGUGGGGAAUCUUAGACAAUGGGCGCAAGCCUGAUCUAGCCAUGCCGCGUGAGCGAUGAAGGCCUUAGGGUUGUAAAGCUCUUUCAGUGGGGAAGAUAAUGACUGUACCCACAGAAGAAGCCCCGGCUAACUCCGUGCCAGCAGCCGCGGUAAUAC